UCUUAAAUAGUUUAAAGUAAAAUGUCGAAUUGUGGAUUCGUUGAUAUAAGAGUUAUUUUAGGUG
rnacentral:tRNA from 1 species